GUCCCAGGGGACAGUGGGAGACCUAGAGAAGAAGUUCGGUGCAGGGACACCAACCACAGUGACUCACAGUUGGAUCCCAUAGGGAAGUUCCAGCUACAAACCCCUGGGAUGACACUAGUCCCAGGCUGAGCUCACCCCUGCAACUAAUGAUGCCGGCUUGGGCUCCCAGCUUUCCCCUCUCAACUCCCUGCCUAGUGGAAGUUGUCAUCUGAGUGGCAGCGCCCCCCCCACCCCCCCCAAAGCACACAUGAUGGAUGGAGUUGAGGAAAGGGCAUGUCCUCCCAGGGUGUCAGAUUUUUCAUCAGUUACAACAGUCCUUCCUCCCUCUGACACCACACAGGAGGAGCCUUGGGGGCUAGAAGGCAAUGAUGUCACAGCUCUUUGAAAGGAAGUAGGCAGAGCCAGCCCUCUAAUCCUGUAAGAUUACUGAGGCAGCAGGGCAAGGCACUGGGUGGGAAGCUGUCCCCAGGAGUUGCCCAGAAACACACCUGGCCUUGGCCUUGGUAGGAACACAGGGGCCAAGAUUCUUCCCUCCUUCUCCAAACACUAUCAACAGAGCACCCAUUUCCAAGGCUUUACCCAGAUACGCACCUAGUUCUCCCUAGAUAGACACCAGACUUCAAUGUCUUACAGGCUCAAUUUCCAUCACACAGUUGCUAACAACAGCCAAGGCUGGAGGCACAGGGAUACAUUCUCGGGAAGACCCUCUGUAUCCAGGGUUAACUUGAGCGAGGCACUCUGAGCCCGUCUCUCCUUGAUGGCUGUUGUAGCAUGAUGGCUGACCCCAUAAUUUCUACAGCUGUCAAUUAGCGCAGCUCGUUCUCAGAGGGAAAAGUCAGGUGAGAGAAAGACUGGGGAGCUGCAAGACCAGGGCAGCCCUCAGAGAUGGGAGGAGCCCACACAGGAGCACCCUCAGCACUGUUAGCUGCUCCAAGGCCUGAUGGUGAAACUUCUAGGUGUCCCUUGAAUGCCCCUAGCACCUACCCAUGCCCGAAGAUAUGCAGAACAAGAAAACAUAGGCAUUUGGCCACUCUCCUCUUACCCAUGUUCCCAUUUCCUUUGCCAGUAGGCCUGCAGGGUGUGUGUAUUGGGGAUGACAUUAAGCCCAGAGCCCAAUGCCAGAGGCGAAUCUAAAUUCAGCAGUUAUGGAAGCUCCUGAGAUGUGACCAGGGCUUUCUGGACCAUUGCCAUCAUCACUACCAUUCUGUAUAUGACAGGGUAGGAGGGAGAUGGGCACAUUAUGUCUCUCUGCCUCUGUCUCUGUCUCUCUCUCUCUCUCUCACCCUCCCUCCCUCCCCCCUCUCUCAAACACACACACAGUUUAGACCCUCUCCUCCCAGCCACCUGCUCUUCUGGGCUUCGAUACCAGCCCCUGAGAAAGGACCUUAGGAGGGAGAGUCAGACCCUAGCACACCGCACCAGCGCUGCUGCGCUCUCUCAACAGCAGGGUCUAGGGCCUCCAGGCUCUCCCUGGCCUGGUUCUCUUGCGCAUCAGCCCUCACUGAGAUGCUCACACAUCUAUCUGCUCUGCUUCGCAAGUCCACCCUGAGCUUCCAUGCUCCUGCUUUGAUCCGCUAAUGCGACCAUUCCCUCUGUCCCAAAGAGUCUUCACAAAAGCAUGCAGGGUGUCCUCCGUCCCUCCUUCAGGUCUCCAUCUCCCUCUAAUGAAAGCUAUAACCUGUGCUCACCCCUCCCUCCAGCUGCGCUGGGCUGGGUUUCCCGGCUCCAUAUUCGUCUGCAAUACCAUCAGCUGUUUGUAUCCUCUUUAGUUGUUUGAAAACUUUGUUUUUACUACAUAUCACCUACACUCACCCUAUUAAUCUCAGGGAUGGCAGACAUCAAUGUAUAGCUGCAGAAUGAAUGAACAAAGAAAGGAACCACUGCCAUUUAGGUAUGGGGGGAAAAGCUACAUCCUAUGGGAUAUUCUGGCCUUUGGGUUGAGGAGGAAGCCUAAGGGCUGAUAAAGGGUAAGACUUGUUUUCAGAUGGGUGGCGGUACCCAUGGUUUGCCUGGAAAUCCCCUCAAGACACUUAUUAACUAUUCCUGACCCCAAUAUGCACAUAGUCCUCUAGUGACCAAGCCCAGACAGCAGCUAAAACAAUCUUUCAACAACAGUCAUUGAGUACGAGGUCACGCUCCCAUGAGGGAGCUCACUGUCACUCGGGUACCUUCUCUGCGCUCCUUGGAUUUUCAGAUGAAAACUGACGAUAGGAGGAGUUGGAAUGCAUAGAUUCAGGGACAAGAUGCCCUUCCACACCUACUGCCUAGAGCCCUGAGGGGAUUCAGAAGCGGCCUUGCAGAUGACAUCCUGAAGGGCCAGGUGAAGGAGAAGCCAGCCUUAUGGGACAUGUGUGCUUACGGGCACACAUGAAUGUGAUGGUCACGGUGCAGAAGGGAAGGAUGUGGAGACACAGAGAGCAGGAAGAAUCUUGUCUUGUGGGGUGUGAGUGGAGGGCAGCCGGGUGCACAAGGACCAGAGAAAGGCAGUGAGGACACGGGAGAAGCUGCACCUGUUAUCAGCUCAUCACUCUUGUCACACAGGGCAUGAGUCCCGGAGGCCGAGAGCUCAGGGAACUAGGGAUUGAACCUAGGGCCUCAUGCAUACCAGGCAAGAGCUCUACUACUAAGCUACAGCCCCAGGACCCAUAAUUGUUACCUUCUAUUUGGAGAUGUGAGGACCCUCUCUGUCACGUCCCUCUGAUACUUAACCAGCGAAGCCUAGUCCGUGUCCUACAAACCAAGAAAAGCUGCCUGACUUUGCAGCCAUUUCUGGAUCUUCAACGUCAAUGUGCCCUGCAUUUGGUAAGAGCUGAAGACAAUGGGGAUAGGUUGUCUGUGUCCUCUCUAUGGAGACCUAGAUGCUUGCAGAGUGGGCAGUUGACCUCACGUGAACUCACAGGCACAAACAUCUAGAGCUCAGCCCAGCACUUUACCAACAGCCAGGAGGAACACCAGGAGUGUACCACAUUCCACGGCCAGCAGCAUGCAGACAUCCUCCAUAAUAGUAGAGCCCUCCCUCCUAUCACGCUGAAUUUGCUGCUUCUUGUGGCCUAUGCAUCUCUCAGCUUUUUCCUGCCUGUCUCCAUCCACAGUCACAAACUGUGGCCUGACUUUGUUCCUCUGACUAGAACUUCCUUCAACAGCCUUGAACUUGGGUGUAAAGACAGAGCCCAAAAUUCUGUGCAAAGGAUGAAUAAAAAUAAUAAAAAUUGAAAACAGCAAAA